AGAGUUUGAUCCUGGCUCAGGACGAACGCUGGCGGCGUGCUUACCAUGCAAGUCGAACGAUGAAGCCUUCGGGUGGAUUAGUGGCGAACGGGUGAGUAACACGUGGGAAAUCUGCCCUGCACUCUGGGACAAGCCUUGGAAACGAGGUCUAAUACCGGAUAUGACCUGUCCUCGCAUGGGGACGGGUGGAAAGCUCCGGCGGUGCAGGAUGAUCCCGCGGCCUAUCAGCUUGUUGGUGGGGUAAUGGCCUACCAAGGCGACGACGGGUAGCCGGCCUGAGAGGGCGACCGGCCACACUGGGACUGAGACACGGCCCAGACUCCUACGGGAGGCAGCAGUGGGGAAUAUUGCACAAUGGGCGAAAGCCUGAUGCAGCGACGCCGCGUGAGGGAUGAAGGCCUUCGGGUCGUAACCUCUUUCAGCAGGGAAGAAGCGCAAGUGACGGUACCUGCAGAAGAAGCACCGGCUAACUACGUGCCAGCAGCCGCGGUAAUACGUAGGGUGCGAGCGUUGUCCGGAAUUAUUGGGCGUAAAGAGCUCGUAGGCGGCUUGUCACGUCGGAUGUGAAAGCCCGGGGCUUAACCCCGGGUCUGCAUUCGAUACGGGCAGGCUAGAGUGUGGUAGGGGAGAUCGGAAUUCCUGGUGUAGCGGUGAAAUGCGCAGAUAUCAGGAGGAACACCGGUGGCGAAGGCGGAUCUCUGGGCCAUUACUGACGCUGAGGAGCGAAAGCGUGGGGAGCGAACAGGAUUAGAUACCCUGGUAGUCCACGCCGUAAACGGUGGGAACUAGGUGUUGGCGACAUUCCACGUCGUCGGUGCCGCAGCUAACGCAUUAAGUUCCCCGCCUGGGGAGUACGGCCGCAAGGUAAAACUCAAAGGAAUUGACGG
rnacentral:rRNA from 1 species